AGCAUCACCUGUAGCAAGCUGUCAGCAUUUGUCCCAGCUGUUCAUGCAGGCUCAGUGGGCAGCUGUGAGAACUCCUUCACAGCUCUGGGGCUCCAGCCCAAGGAAGCAGAGAUCCAAGAUAGCCUUUUGGACAGCACUGCCACAGCCAUCUGAAACCCACAUCCAUCUUACGCUGGAGGACUGCAUACACCAAACUGCACACACCACUUUUCUUCUAGGAGGUGGAUAACGGUAGGGAGCAUUCUGCCUGCUAAGGUGAGAGGUAGCUUCAUUUUCCACAUCUCUGGGACUCAUUAGAUACUGAAUUUGAAGCUGUUGCUGCAAGCAAUCCCAUAAGCCAAAUUAUUUUAGAUGUUGGUCAGUCCUGAGCUCAUCCAAAGACCACUGAAUGCAUCUUCACCUUUUGCAUCUGCUGAGGUGAAGUCACAGCCCACAGUAAAGGCUGUAACCUGGCUCUGAUGGGUCCUAACAAAGAUGGGACCAUUGGUGCUUAUGGAGGUUGUUUGCCCACGUUUUCUGUAGUUCAUUACAAAACUUCCCUGUUCCAACUCAGAAACCAUACAGAUUCCUAAUUGCAGCCAAGUUUGACCACAGAUACCAGAACACAGAUCAAUCGCUUUUCUCUUUCUUGAUGCAAAAAUGCCUCAGAGAGAUAAUAGCAAUAAGUCUUUGCUGACUGAUGGCAUUGUGUUGGCUUUGAGCAGCCCGUGGAUUGGCCAUCCUCCACUGCCAUUUCCUAAAAGCAGUAUUUUUCUGGUUGUUUAUCUUCCCCAGCCUUGUAUGCCGCCAUUGCCCAAAAGCCCCUCUCUGUCCAGGGAGAGGAUUUACUGCUUCUGUUUAAGUAGUGGCAGAGCACAGAACAACGGAGGCCCUAUGCAAACAUGUGCUGCUGUUUUCUUUUGCUUUCCAUUUAUUCUUUAGUGGUAAAUCACAGCACUCGAAAGCAAACAGAAAUCAGAAGAUCUAGGACCCAAAGUGCUGUCUUGAGCCAUACAACAGGGGAUGAAGACAGGUUGCACUGAGAAGUUAAGCAACAAAUGGCCCUUGAAAGCAAAGACGUUUCAUCUCUAAUGCAUGCCUCAGAUUGUUUCUGGCUGGGUUUUGGCUCUCUUUGAACAAGGCAGAAGCUUUGUGCCUGGAUUGCUUAGCACACAGAAGAGAUCUGGGCUGAGUGUGUACUCUGCUUCGGGUAAGGACUGUCUUUAUCUCCUGUGCGUGGAUGGAGUACAGUGGAUCCCUCAAGAUGUUCCAGUGACAAAAGGUGACACAAGCAAGAGCUUGUUUACAUGGUUUGAGUAUGCAGGACAUCAGGGCUGGGAAUGGUCACUGUCAGACUUUGUCUCGACUCCACCACCAAGCCUGACCCUUCCAAAGACCCUAAAGGACCAUGCAGGCUCACGCCACUGCAUUACGACAGAUUGAUCCACAUGCAAGCUCCUUCUUUGACCUCAUUUCAGCCCAGGCUGACAUCUGGCCCUGUGUUUUCAAGCCAAUGCUGGGCUGACACAAGCUUUUGCAUAGUUGGGCAAGAUUGCCACGGGAAAGAAGGUGGAAUGACUCCUCGGGAAGCAGCAUCAGCACCUAUCAGCUGUAAUCAGCAUUUCUACACAGCAAGACUGAAAGCCUGGUUCCUUCCAUGACCAAGUGAGACAGCAUAACCUGCACUCAGGAUCAACACAACUCUACAGUCUCAUUGCGGCAGCCAAAACCAAUCCACCUUUAUCUACUUACAGCAGAGCUGAGCUCAAGGAAACAGGCAGUGUCUGGAAGGCUGAGCUGAUCAGCACCGUACAAAGAUCUCCCCAGAAAGUGCAAAGCCCUUUGGAGAAUAUCCCCACCCACUGUCCCUUUGGGGAGCAUCUUCCUGGGCUUGGUGCUGCCAUUCACUGUGGGUUUGGUGGCCACACCUGUCUCAGGGCUUUGGCUGAGUCUAUAGGGCAGAAUGUAGGCAUGGUUGUGGCAUCCAUGGCUCAGAGCAAGCCGUGUUGUUGGGCUGCAUGGGGCAGCCACGGCAGACGCAGAUAAAAGCAGUGCCUGAGAGGCAUCUGCCUGCAGUGGGGUGUGCGCUGCUAAUGCGCAGGGAUGAGCAGAUGGGUUGAUUACACAGGGAGAAAUGGACACUAAUCGUAUCCAGAUUCACCAGCUGCAGGAUUUCCUCCUGAGCCCUGAAGGACAGGAAGCCCUUACCUGCUUCUUUAUCCUGUCUCUGUUCAUUAGGCCCUUCCCCCGCCCUGGGAACCACGUCUGGGCUAAUUCCCUGCACCCAGACUGCAGAGCCAACAUCCAGAUAGGAACUCCCACAGUGCUCCAGCACAGCUGGAUGCAGCUCCAGCCCAGGGACCUAUCCUGUCUUUCAGCUCUGGCACAGCCUGGCUCAUGUUUUCCUGCUUGGGGAACCCACUGCAAGACUCCUCCUGCCUUCCAUUGCCUCUCUGAACAGUGGGGAACAAUUUGGGGCAAAUGAGAGCAUGUUGUGCACCAAAGGCUGCACUGGGGAUCAGUGCAUCAUGUGCCACCAUGUCCUGCAUUGAGAUGCAGCCACUUCUGAGAUAAUGUCCAGUAUGUGUUUGGCACACAUCCAAUGAAGCCAGGGAAUAAAGAAGGAUUUUGCAGGCUUAAAACAUCAGAGGCAACCCUCCAGCAGGCUGCACGAUGAUUCACUGGACUGAACUGGGAGGUGAUGCUGGAGAACUGGACUGCACUCUUGUUUCUGGGAGACUGAAACGUCUGGAGUGGUUGGGUUUCAUAGCCUGCUUAGGUCAGCAGUGCCAGCUUGAAGAAAGGAGCGGAAACAUCCCACCCUCCCUUAUCUGCAUCUCUCUGCAUCCACCCCAGCUCUCUUCAGCCCCAGUAAGCUGCUCCCAAAGCAGCAUGGCUGCAGGGAUGGCCUGAGGUGACCCCAUAUGGGGGGGUCUGAGCCUCAUCCUCAUCCACAAACAGGAGCCCUGGGAGCAGAUGCAUGGCAGUUCAAGCUGCUGGUCACGCUGGUAGCAGCAUUGCCCUCACUUUGGAUGGAGUCUGCACAUGAGGAAUAAGCUUGAAAAAUGCUACAGCUCAAGCUGUUGCUUCAAGUGGGGCCUUGGGGGACCCUUUCUCCUUGCAUGCUGAGGGUGCCUCUGUUCCCAGCCCUAGGCUUGUGUUGUCAGACUCAGUGUGUGCCAGCUCCUGCACCAUCCCUGGAUGCCAUGGGAUGCCACGUGCUGCCCCUGCGAGCUGGUGCAUGGAUCUGAGCAAGCCAAGGCCGAAGGAGAGGAGAACCACUCCCUGCAUUCUUGGUGUAAUUCCCAGAACCUUCCUGCUCAGCCAAAGCUGCUUCAGGUCCCCGUGCCCGGCACUGAAACAUCAGCACAGCCAUCCUGUGAGCUCAAAUCACACCCCAGGAUGCUGACUGAGCAGUCAACGACGCUGAAUGGAGCCGUGGCUGCUCUGCAGACCCCUCCAGGCAGGAGGAAGAGGAGGAAGCGCAGCACUUGGCACAGCCUUGCAGGUGAGGAGAAGCCUCCUGCCCUGUCCAACCUCUUGGGCAGCUCCUCUGUCCCUAGCACAGCAAAACGGUGACACUGAUGUGCUGGCAGCAGCCACAGGAUGCAGCAGCACCUGGGUACAGACCUCUCCAAACCACGAGGUGGUGCACGCAGGGUUACACUUUGUUGUCAUCAUCUGAGCAAAUAUGCUAUGUCUACCUCACCCUGUGCAGCAUGCCCCUUGUUGGGCUGCCUCUACUAUGUUUUCUGCACACAGGACUAACUCAUGAGUUCCCACAGCAUGCCAAACCCAGCAUGCAAAGUGCAACCCUCACGGGCUUCAGUGGGGCAAGCAGGCGCUGCUCAGUGCCCAUGGACAGCCCUACAAAACCAAACCUUGCUUUGUCCUCCCCCACCUCACUUUUCACACCAGCCACGUAACACCAAAGACAAAGAGCAGCCACGAGCAACCCCACAGCAGCAAGCCAGGAUGGUGGAAGAAGUGGAUGGAAAUCGGAGAGUGAAAGAGGUGAUUUAUAGAGAGUAAAAACGGCAGCAAGAAAGGUAAAUAAUGCUGAUUCUUGUAAAGAAGAGCUGUGGGGUGGUUCGAUGGUGAGCUGGCACUGGGUACCCCGUGUCCCCCGUGGUGCAUGGAGCUGUGAGCAUCAUCUGUCCCUUGGAUGUGUUUCUACUGGGAUCCCACUCAACUUGUGCCCCCAGAUCCACUGCAACGAGCUGGCAACUACUGGGAAGGCCGAGGAAGAAGCCCACAAAGGCCAGGUUUGUUCCCCCUGCCUUUAACAUCCCGUUUCUCC
ensembl:lncRNA